GUCUACGGCCAUGCUACCCUGAACGAGCCUGAUCCUGUCUGAUCUCAGAAGUUAGGUAGGGUCGGGCCUGGUUAGUACUUGAAUGGAAGACCACCUAGGAAGACCAGGUGCUGUAAGCA
rfam:Pteropus alecto contig31307, whole genome shotgun sequence.